GUCGUCAGCGCCACAGCCGAGGUUGACAGAUUGACUGUUAGAAUUUGUGGUUGGUCAAAUUAGCUUUAAAAGUAGAGAAUAUUGUCCACCUGCAAAAGAGAGUACAAAUCUACAUUGGUGAUUAAAAUAUAUCAGCUGCCAUUGGUGUUAUGUAUAUAUCUAAAAUUAGUGAACAGCUUAAGCGAAUCUGCAGCGCACGUGUGGGUGAGCUACAGAGAGAUGGUUGAUGUGCUGAGAACAGACAGGGAGUAUUAAGGAAAAAAAGGAUGCAGAUGUCUGUUGCCUCAUUGAGUAUCCUGGGGAAAAGAGGAGCUGUCAGGAGGAUGAACUUGAGGCCCUCACAAACCAAAUAAUGAAGGUGUUGGUGAUGCAUGAUCCCACAGCUGAGGACGACCCAGCCUCUCAUUUCUAGUGUUGCAACCAUUGUAGUCGCACAUUACAUCAAAUCACAGAUUCUUAUUGUUUGACAUGAUAAAAUGUGAGAAAGCAUUUUUUUAGUGCACAUUUUGCAGGAAGACAUUGGUUUAUUUUUAUUGGGAAGCAUUCAAGAGGUUUUAUUUAACACGAGUG
ensembl:lncRNA